rnacentral:rRNA from 1 species
UACGUAGGGUGCUAGAGUUGUCCGGAUUUACUGGGUGUAAAGGGUGCUCAGGUGGGUUUGUAAGUCAGACGUGAAAUCCCUCGGCUUAACCGGGGAACUGCGUCUGAUACUGGAUGGCUUGAAUCCGGGAGAGGGAUGCGGAAUUCCAGGUGUAGCGGUGAAAUGCGUAGAUAUCUGGAGGAACACCGGUGGCGAAGGCGGCAUCCUGGACCGGCAUUGACGCUGAGGAGCGAAAGCCAGGGGAGCAAACGGG